UACGUAGGGUGCAAGCGUUAAUCGGAAUUACUGGGCGUAAAGCGUGCGCAGGCGGUCGUGCAAGACAGAUGUGAAAUCCCCGGGCUCAACCUGGGAACUGCAUUUGUGACUGCACGGCUGGAGUGCGGCAGAGGGGGAUGGAAUUCCGCGUGUAGCAGUGAAAUGCGUAGAUAUGCGGAGGAACACCGAUGGCGAAGGCAAUCCCCUGGGCCUGCACUGACGCUCAUGCACGGAAGCGUGGGGAGCAAACAGG
rnacentral:rRNA from 1 species